rnacentral:lncRNA from 1 species
UAAGCCCUAACCCAACACCCUAAACCCUAAACCCUAAACCCUAAACCUAACCCUAAACCCUCACACCUAAACCCUAAACCCUAAACCUUAAACCCAACGCCUAAACCCUAAACCUAAAACCCUAAACCCUAAACCUAAACCCUAAAACCUAAACCCCUAAACCCUAACCCUAACGCUAAAACCCUAAACCUAACCCUAAACCCUAAACCCUAAACCCUUAAAGCCUAAACGCUAAACCCUAAACCCUAAACCCUAAACCCUAAACCCUAAACCCUGUAAACCCUAAACCCCUAACCUAAACCCUAAACCUAACCCUAAACCCUAAACCCCUAAACCCUAAACCCUAAAACCCUAAACCCUAAACCCUAAACCCUAAACCUAAACCCUAAACCCUAAACCGUAAACCCUAAACCCUAAACCCUAAAACCCUAAAACCUAAACCCUAAAACCCUGAAACCCUAAACCUAAAACCCUUAAACCUAAACCUAAAACCCUAACCCUAAACCCUAACCCGUAAACCCUAAACCCUAAACCCUAAACCCUAAACCCUAAACCCUAAAAACCCUGAACAACCUAAACCUAAACCCUAAACCCUAAACCCUAAACCCUAAACCUAAACCCUAACCCUAAACCCUAAACCCUAAACCCUAAACCCUAAACCCUAAACCCAAACCCUAAACCCUAAACCCAAACCUAACCCAUAAACCCUAAACCCUAAACCCUUAAAACCCUAAAAACCCUAAAACGCCUAAAACCCUAAAAACCCUAAACCCUAAAACCCUAAACCACUAAACCCUAUACCCUAAACCCUAAACCCUAAACCCUAAACCCUAAACCCUAACCCUUAACCCUAAACCCUAAACCCUUUAACCCUAAACCUAAACCCUAAACCCUAAACCUAAACCCUAAACCCUAAACCCUAAACCCUAAAACCCUAAACCCUAAACCCUAAAACCCGUAACCCUAAACCCUAAACCCUAAACCCUAAACCCUAAACCUAACCUGAACCGUAAACCCUAAACCCUAAACCCUAUAAACCCUAAACCCUAAACUAAACCCUAAAACCCUAGAACCUAAACCGCUAACCCUAAACCCUAAACCCUAAAACCCUAAACCCUAAACCCUAACACCCUAAACCCUAACACCUAAACGCUAACCCUAAACCCUAACCCUAAAACCCUAACCUAAACCCUAAACCCUAAACCCUAAACCCUAAACCCUAAACCCUAAACCCUAAACCCAAACCCUAACACCUAACCCUAACCCUAAAACCCUUAAACCCUAAACCCUAAAACCCUAAACCCUAAACCCUAAACCCUAACCUUGAAAACCCUAAACCCUAAAACCCUAAACGCGUAAACCCUAAACCCUAAACCCUAAACCUAAACCCUAAACCUAAACCUAAAACCCUAAACCCGUAAAACCCUAAACGCCUAACCUAAACCCUAAACCCUAAACCCUAAACCCUAAACCAUAAAACCCUAGAACCCUCUUAAACCCUAAACCCUAAACCCUAAAACCCUAAUACCCUAAACCCUAAACCCAAACUAAACCCUAGAACCCUUAAACCCUAACCCCAUAACCCUAAAACCCUAACCCUUAACACCCUAAACCCUAAACCUAAAACCCUAACCCUAAACCCUUAAACCCUAACCCUAAACCCUAAACCUAAACCCUAAAACCCUAAGACCUAAAGCCCUAAACCCUAAACGCCUAUAACCGCUAAACCCUAAACCUAACCCUAAAACCCUAAAACCCUAAACCCUAAACCCUAAACCCUAAACCCUAAACCUAAACCCUAAACCCUAAUACCUAAACCCCUAAACCCCUACCCUAAACCCUAAACCCUAAACCCUAAAACCUAAAACUAAACCUCAUAAACUCUAAGACCCUAAACCCAAAACCCUAAACCUUCUAAACCCUAACAAACUAACCGUAAACCCUAAAACCUAAACCUAAACCCUAAACCCUAAACCCUAAACCCUAAACCUAAACCCUAAACCUAAACCCAAACCCUAAACCUAAACCCUAAACCCUAAACCCUAACUAACCCUAAACAACCUAAAACACGGUAUCCAUGUGAACCCGGUUAAGCCUAAACCAACCCAACCUAAAACCCUAAACCUAAACCCUAAACCCUAAACCUAAACCCUAAACCUAAACCUAAACCUAAAACCCUAAACCCUAAACCCUAAAAACCCUAAACCUAACCUAAACCCCUAACCCUAAACCUCUAAACCCUAAACCCAAACCCUAACACCUAACCUAACCCAACCGCUGACAACAAAGCCUAAACCUACCCUAACCUAGAACCCUAACGACCUAAACCUAAACGCCUAACCCUAAACACCUAAAACCAAAACCCUAAACCCUAAACCCUAAAACCCUAAACCCUAAACCUAACCCUAAACCCCAUAAACCCUAAACCCUACAACUAAACCCUAAACCCUAAACCCUAAAACCAAACCCUAAACCUAAACCUUCUAAAUCCAAACCCGUA